rnacentral:misc_RNA from 1 species
GUUGGAGAACUCCUUGGAGACUCAGAAAAAAUUGCAAGAGGACACAUAUAGCUUGAAGCCCUGUGGAUUGCAAGAGUUGAAUAUUGAAGAGUGCCAAUUUGAUCCAGAUGUGGAAGAAGGCUCUUGGAAUUUUGAUGGCAUAGGAAACCAGAAACUUCCAUCGAUUCCAGACAGCAAAACAAAAGGAGACGGCAAAACUUCUUUUAGAUGUCCUAGGAUAUCAGUCUCAUCCAAGGGGGAUGCCAAAAGGAAAAGAGGGAGACCUGUUGGCAAGAGUGUGAAGAGAGGAACAGGCGUUAGCCAAGCUCGAAGAACACGACCUCGCAUCGGAAAGCCU